rnacentral:misc_RNA from 1 species
AAGUCGUAACAAGGUUUCCGUAGGUGAACCUGCGGAAGGAUCAUUAACACGUAUCCAACGUUAAAACAACCCCGUGAACUUUCAGCUUGCUCCUGUAGCCCGUGAAAGCAGCAAUCCCUGGUAAAUCAUUGUUGACCAGCUUUUGAGUCAGGGACCUCUGCAGAUUGUGAUAUUUUAUAGCUACGGUUGAGCGAUUGCAUCUAGUGACCUGGCAUCCCCAAGUAAUCAGUGUUCUGAAAGUGUCAUUGAUUGUGUAAGGAUGGCGCAGUCACGAUCGCUGUAGGCCCACACGGCCGGCGACCGGGUCACCGGGCUCUGCUCCCACUGUUACGACAAACCUCUGUUCCCCUCUAGUGAAAGCUAUUGGGUUAUAACUAAACGACUGUUAACAAUGGAUAUCUCGAUUCUC